rnacentral:misc_RNA from 1 species
CUCACUGGAUUGGAUUUUUACAUUAAGAAAUAUGAAGAUACAUACAUAUAUAUUCCUCUUCCUUCCAAAUCUCGCCUUGUGCAUAGAUAUCACUUAUCAAGUAGAGGAAGGGCAAAGACCUGAUACAUAUAUUGGAAAUAUCGCUGCAGACAUACAGUUGGAAAACAUACCUUUAAAAGACCGUGCAUUAAUUUGGUUCAGUCAACUAAAAGAAGGAAUUAAUAACACAUUAUGGUUAUUUAACGUCUCCAGAACUGGGAAACUUUACACUGCUCAACAACUAGAUACUGAAGCGCUUUGCAAAUACAAUACUGAAUGCUUCAGGACAGUUGAUAUUGCUGUUCAAAAUAAGGAAUCAUUUGUAAAAAUUCUUGAAAUCAAAGUUAUAUUAAAAGACGUCAAUGAUCACCGUCCAGAGUUCCCUGAGGAUCAUGUAAAGAUAGAAUUUUCUGAAGAUGAUCGCAAAGGGGUAAGACGUUCAAUAGCAAAUGCUAUUGACAAAGAUGUUGGAAUUCAGAACUCGCAAAUUGUUUACUGGAUGAAGAAUGAACAUGGCCAGCCAUUUAGUUUAUCUGUGUCCAAGAAAAUAGAUGGGACAGCUACACUUGGAAUAAUUUUGGAGCAAAGACUUGAUAGAGAAAUGGAAGAUGAAUAUAACAUACAGAUAGUAGCCAAGGACCAAGGAUUUCCUCCAAAACAAUCUAUUUUAAAUGUCCACGUUUCCAUAACAGAUGUUAAUGAUAACCCACCACGUUUUGCUAAAAAUGUUUACAAUGUUUCACUCAAUAACGGAUUUAGGAAGAACAAACCCAUUACCACAUUAUCUGCAACGGAUUUAGACAGUGGCGAAAAUGGUAAAAUAUCAUAUUAUUUUGGUUCCAAAACAUCUAACAAUGCUAAAUCUUAUUUCAAAUUAGUUAAGGAAACAGGUGAGAUUUUCCUUAUCCAAAAGUAUUUCUCAGGGUCCAAGAAAAUCCACAAGUUGUUUAUUGAAGCUGUAGAUGGAGGUAUUCCACCUCUGAGUUCUACAGUCAUGGUUUUAGUAAAUAUCAUAAAUCAACAAAAUAACAUACCCAAAAUUGAGGUAAAAUUUGUUUCCCAAUCAUCUGGAAAUAAAUUGACAAUAUCCGAAGGAAUAAAAGUCGGCAGUUUUAUAGCCUUUGUUAAGAUCAUAGAUGAUGACAUUGGUCAGAAUGGAGAAGUAGACUGUUUCCUUCAGCAUGACAAACUUCAACUCCAGAGUUUAGGUAAAAUGAAAUAUAAAGUUAUAGUAAAAAGUGAAAUCGAUCGAGAAACUGAAAGUCACAUUGAAUUUGAUAUAACUUGUAAAGAUAGAGGUUCUCCCUCAUUACAAACUCAGAGCCAAUUUUCAAUCGAAGUAGUGGAUAUCAAUGAUGUGAGGCCUAUGUUUACCAAAGAUACAUUUAAAUUUUUGGCCUAUGAAAAUGAAAAAUCAAACUUCCUUGUUGGAUUUAUAAAUGCCACUGAUCCAGAUCUGGGACCAGAAAAUAAACUUUAUUAUUCUCUCUACAGUAAGGAUCAAUAUGUUCUUCCAUUUGAAAUUUCUGAUUUUGGAUUUAUUUCAACGACACAAUCUUUAGAUCGUGAGCAACAAGAAAUCUAUAAAUUUCAAGUUUCUGUAAAAGACAGUGGAAUUCCACCGUUAAACAACACUGCAAAUGUUAUUGUUAAAGUCAUGGAUGAGAAUGACAACGUACCAUACUUUACUUUCCCUAGUGUCAACCCUUUCAGUCUAGAUGUCCACUAUCAUCCACAAAUUAACAAAGACAUCACAGUACUAAGAGCCUCUGACAGAGACAGUCAUGUGAAUGCUUUCCUCACGUAUGAAAUUGUCAAAGGCAAUGACAAACAGUUGUUUAAUGUAAACCCACAUUCUGGAGUAUUGUCUUUCUCUCGUCCAGUUUACCAAAAUGAUGCUGGCUCAUAUGACCUUCAGUUUGUGGUCAGAGACAGUGGGACUCCAGUAUUGUCAGCAACCACCACAGUAUUUCUGACUCUAACGGUCAGCAACAGCACCUCUCAGCUUUACACAGCUCAACACACUGAGUCAGAUGAUAUGAUACAUAUCAGUUUAGUAGUAAUAAUCGUAAUAGCUGCUGUGAUAAUAUCUACAGCUAUUGUAGUCUCUAUAAUAGUCUGCAUUGUUCAAAGACAGAAUCAAAGAGAGGUUCAGUACGGUUACCGGAUUGAUGCAAACAAUGAUUUAGUCGGAGAACGAAGACCAUCAGAAUAUAUAUGCGAACCUAUUUCACCAAAAUAUGACAUUCCAUUUACCAUAGUAGGAGACCAAGUUAGUAAUAGAAACUGCCAAAUUACAGUACCCAAAAGGGAGACCCAUUCAGGAUAUAAAUCAGAACCUAAUCUGGAAGGUUCCGCUUCUGGAUUUCAAAUGCAGACCAUAACGAAAGGAGAUAGUCAGAUAUCAAUAAGCUAGCGAAUGGAUUUUCAUAAAUACAUACAAAGAUGUGUUGGCUGUAUGUUUAUAGAAUUGUAAAUGAAUCUUCCCUUAAGCAGUAUUCAAGUACAUUAAACUCAGUUGGCAACUGCAUUUCUGUUUCCCUUCCUUGGGAACCUUAACAAGCCUGUCAUUGGCUGCAGCAGACAUUACAUACACAAAUUCAAUACAGACCAAGAAAUAUUAUACAGCUGUCACACAACAGCAGUAGUGAGUGUGAAACUCAAUGCACGGAUACAGAUUUCUUGUAAUGACACUCUCAUAUGGAAUUGGUAGUAACGCUGUAUAAAAUCCUGCUUGCCUGUGGAAUUCCAAAGCUCAGCCAAACUGUCUCUACCAUUGGCAAUUAGUAGAUAUAAAGACACCAUUUCUCAUGCAAAACUAUCGAACCAAACUGAAGCUAUUCAGA